UACGUAGGGUGCGAGCGUUGUCCGGAAUUAUUGGGCGUAAAGAGCUCGUAGGUGGUUUGUCGCGUUGUUCGUGAAAACUCACAGCUCAACUGUGGGCGUGCGGGCGAUACGGGCAGACUUGAGUACUGCAGGGGAGACUGGAAUUCCUGGUGUAGCGGUGAAAUGCGCAGAUAUCAGGAGGAACACCGGUGGCGAAGGCGGGUCUCUGGGCAGUAACUGACGCUGAGGAACGAAAGCGUGGGUAGCAAACAGG
rnacentral:rRNA from 1 species